rnacentral:rRNA from 1 species
UACGUAGGGGGCAAGCGUUGUCCGGAUUUAUUGGGCGUAAAGAGCGUGUAGGCGGCCAGGUAUGUGGGUUGUGAAAACUGGAGGCUCAACCUUCAGACGUCGACCCAAACCCCCUGGCUAGAGUCCGGAAGAGGAGAGUGGAAUUCCUGGUGUAGCGGUGAAAUGCGUAGAUAUCGAGAGUAACACCUGCGGCGAAGGCGGGUUGCUGGGCUGACACUGACGCUGAAGUGCGAAAGCUAGGGGAGCGAACGGG